rnacentral:lncRNA from 1 species
UGGCCGAGCGCAUGCAGCAGCUGCCUACCGAGGAUCUGGCAGCCUACCAAGUCACACUAAAUUGGCA